AGUAAUGCUUGGGAAUCUAGCUUAUGGAGGGGGAUAACUACGGGAAACUGUAGCUAAUACCGCGUAGAAUCGGGAGAUGAAAGUGUAGGACCUUCGGGCCACAUGCCAUAGGAUGAGCCCAAGUGGGAUUAGGUAGUUGGUGAGGUAAAGGCUCACCAAGCCGACGAUCUCUAGCUGGUCUGAGAGGAUGACCAGCCACACUGGGACUGAGACACGGCCCAG
rnacentral:rRNA from 1 species